UACGAAGGGGGCGAGCGUUGUUCGGAUUUACUGGGCGUAAAGGGCGCGUAGGCGGCGGGUCAAGUCGAGUGUGAAAGCCCCGGGCUCAACCUGAGGUGCGCUCGAGACUGGUCUGCUAGAGUUCGGGAGAGGAGCGUGGAAUUCCCAGUGUAGAGGUGAAAUUCGUAGAUAUUGGGAAGAACACCGGUGGCGAAGGCGGCGCUCUGGACCGAGACUGACGCUGAGGCGCGAAAGCUAGGGGAGCAAACAGG
rnacentral:rRNA from 1 species